GGUAGCGCAGUAGUUAGCGCACCUGACUAUUGCACGGAGGGUCGUGGGUUCGAUUCCCACACCG
rnacentral:tRNA from 1 species